rnacentral:lncRNA from 1 species
GAGAUAGAACAGGAUUUGAGGGGUUCCCUGGUCACUCAGCUGGUUAAAGAUCUAUCAUGGUCACUGCUGUGGCGCAGAGUUUGAUCCCUGGCCUGAGAACUUCUGCAUGCUGCGGGCAUGACCAAAAAGAAAAAAAAAAGAAUAAGAUUUGAACUCAAGCCCUCUGGAUCAGACUCCUUGCUCUAAGCCAUAGGGUUUUUCUGAUCAUGUUGCAGGCCCCUCCAGGCCGGCCUCUCAUCGGGCAUCCGUGGGCAUGGGUCUGUUCACUCUGGCAGCAGUGACCCAGAGCGGGGACUGGCUGGGAGAGGCUGCCACGUGAAAAGUCCAGACAUGAAUUGUGGGGGGUUGUUUGCCCCCAGGUCUGACUAGCUGGGUUUGGGAGGGGACUGCACCUCCUAUUACUGUCUUGGCAACCUGGUGGAUGACACUAAGAUGUGGGCAGAGCUGGAGCAUUCUCCCCACUUCACAGGUGGGGCAUCUGGUGCUGCUGAGGGCCCAUGCCACCACCUCAAGGGGAACUGGUUUAGCCUCCCCCCACCCCAUGCAGCCUGGGGAUAGCAAGAGGGAACCAGCAUCUUUCAGGAAUGCCUAGGAAGGGGAGGAGGGGCUCUCCCAGCCCCUGGACCACCCCCGCUGUGGCCCUGGAACUUAUUCAUGUGAGCGGAGAACCGAGCUGUCCAGAGUCUUGACAGGAUCGGAGUUUGAAGCAGACCAGGAAUGAGCAGGCAGGGCCCAGUAGCCCCCCAGACACCACCUGUCUUGUGAGGACAGCAGAGCCUCUGGAUGGGGACGAUUGGGCUGGUGGCUCUGGAGUUCCAGCAGAGGGGUGAGCCGACUGAUGGGAUGAGGGCAUUCAGCCCAACAGUCAGGACUUGGGAUAUUGUGUCUUUCCAGGUGACCUCAGCUGGGGAGGCAGGAAGACCACCGGGGUAAUUCUUUGCAGUGCAGCUGUCCUGUGCAAGGUAGAAUUUUUAGCGCCAUCCCUGGCUUCUGCCCCCCACAUGCCAGUGGCAUGCCCCAGUUGUGACAGUCAAGUCCACAGAUGUUGCCAAAUGAGGUCUCUGGGGGGCGGAAUGACCCUGGUUGAGAGCCCAUUCCAUGGCCUGGAGCCCUUCAGACAGCAGCUCCUCCUCCUGGCUGCUGCUCCCUGUUGCUGCCCAGAGUCCUGGACCCCCAGGGCCACGGGGCCAGGGUGGAGCCGUGAGGUAGGGGACAGUGGUGUCAUCAGUGGCAGAGCAGCAGAGACCCAGGGGUCAUGCAGGGAAUGGCCCCUGAGGGUGUCUGGGACUCCUGCUCCGGGCCCCACGCCCAGAAGGGCCUGGGAGGAGCCCUCAUCUUGGCGACGUAGGGUACAGGGCGGCAGGGGCGCUGGGUAGGGCCCUCUUCCCCUCCAGCCAGCAGGGGCCCAGCCGGCUGCGUCAGGCCCUCCUGGCUGCUCACUGGAAACUGCGGGCUCUUAGAAAAGUCUGUCCAGGCAGGUGCCCAAAAUAGCUGAGCCAGUAGGGUUCUGGUGCCCCCUCCACCAAACAGAUGGAUACACUGAGGCCUGGAGAGGAUGACAAGCAUCCACUUGGGCCGAGAGGUGGGAACGGGCUUGAACCAGGUCUCCUGCCUCCAGGCCUGAGCUCUGGCUGGAAUCAUGCUCCUCUGGCCAGUGGACCGUGAGCCUGAGCCUAGAGCAGGAUCACCCAGGCUGCUUAAACCCCAGACUGCUGGAGUUCCCUGGUGGUGCAGUGAGUUAAGGAUCUGGCAUUGUCACUGUGGCAGCUUGGGUCACUGCUGUGAUGUGGGUUCCAAUCCCUGGCCCAGGAAGUUCCACAUGCUAUAGGCGCAGCCAAAAAAAA